rnacentral:lncRNA from 10 species
ACUCGGAGCAGCGCGCGCCCCGCAAUCGCCGCAGCCGCCCCCGCCGUCGGCCGCCGCACCCCAAGCGACUGCCCAAACUAAGCCUCCGUGGCUGGGUACGGGAGCGCUUUGGGGACAAAAAUUCUCCCUCAACUGUGGUCUGCAUUCCUUCGGCCCGUGGGCUGAUCUGGGGCGGGAAGUAUUAGCGUCUCAGUUGCGCUGCAGCCGGGGAGGAAGGAGGAGGCCGAGCCUGGGGCGGAGUUUGGGCUGACUGGGGCCGAGAACCGCAGGGACUGGCCGAGAAAUCUCCUUUACAGACAAUAGGUGAAGAACAAACCCAGAAUCCCUACACUGAACUGCUAGUACUGAAGGCUCAUCAUGAUAUUGUACGAUUUCUGGUACAGUUAGAUGACUACAGAUUUGCAUCUGCUGGUGAUGAUGGAAUUGUAGUUGUGUGGAAUGCCCAGACAGGGGAAAAACUUUUAGAACUGAAUGGACACACUCAAAAGAUAACAGCUAUUAUUACAUUUCCUUCCUUGGAAUCUUGUGAAGAGAAAAAUCAACUCAUCU